GGCUAUGCCCAUAGUCACCCUGAACAAGCCCGAUCUCGUCUGAUAUCAGACACUAAGCAGGGUCAGGCUUGGUUAGUACUUGGAUGGGAGACCACCUAGGAAGACCAGGUGCUAUAGGCA
rnacentral:rRNA from 1 species